rnacentral:rRNA from 1 species
CCUACGGGAGGCAGCAGUGAGGAAUAUUGGUCAAUGGACGAGAGUCUGAACCAGCCAAGUAGCGUGAAGGAUGACUGCCCUAUGGGUUGUAAACUUCUUUUAUAUGGGAAUAAAAUGUUCCACGUGUGGGAUUUUGUAUGUACCAUAUGAAUAAGGAUCGGCUAACUCCGUGCCAGCAGCCGCGGUAAUACGGAGGAUCCGAGCGUUAUCCGGAUUUAUUGGGUUUAAAGGGAGCGUAGGUGGAUUGUUAAGUCAGUUGUGAAAGUUUGCGGCUCAACCGUAAAAUUGCAGUUGAAACUGGCAGUCUUGAGUACAGUAGAGGUGGGCGGAAUUCGUGGUGUAGCGGUGAAAUGCUUAGAUAUCACGAAGAACUCCGAUUGCGAAGGCAGUUCACUGGACUGCAACUGACACUGAGGCUCGAAAGUGUGGGUAUCAAACAGGUUUAGAUACCCCAGUAGUC